CACCAGGUUCUUUGACCUCACUGCUUUUUCGUCACAUUGUUUCCUCUGGCUAUCGGUGCAACCCUUAGAAUGCUGAUAUGUAUUUGGAGCACCAAGAUGGGCCUGGAUUCAGCCAACACUUAAAUAAAUGCAAAUCAGACACCUUCAUCCAAGGCAAAGUGUUGUGUCCAGGGUUAUCACCAAGGUUUAAAUACAGACUUUGCCCAACCGUGCCGUCAACCUGGGAUUUGAACCUGCAAGCUCUCGGGUACAAGACGCUGUCAGGAAUACCUCGAGCACAACAGACAGAGACAUUGAAGAGCUUACCACACUGUGGCUACAUCUGACAGGGAUGUUUGGAAGGAAAGAGAGGGCCAGCAGACAUGAAGAUGAGUUGCAUGGUCCCCAAUGUUCCAAACACGAUGAUAGUAAUGUCAGAAUCCUUUACGUUUCCUUGUAAUGACAGCCUGGGUAAUACGUACUAGUAUUCACAAUAUGUUGGCUCAUUUUCUUGUCUCCUUCAGCCUUUGUUAAAUCGUUGAUUUCUGUUCAGUUCUGUGGAUUUCAAAAGUAUUUUCUUUUCCAGAAAUGUGUUUGAAUUCAUGUUUGUUAUACUCCUUACAAAUCGCACACAGAAUAGCAUGUACUGCCUGUAAAAGGGUCAAGUUAUUCAAUACCUCUAACUGACAAGCUUAGAUAACAUGUUUUUGAAAAAUAAAAAAAUGUUAAAAAAAAAAAUGCAAUUACUUGUAUUGAGCCCAUUCUUCAUCAUAUGUGAUGGUUCAAUUGACUUUUUCAUUGACAUUAGUUGUACUCUUGUACUAGGUCGCACACACAGGAAAAAAUGAGGAAAUGUCUAAGUAUCUGAUUAACUUCUGCCAUUCUUCUACGGCUUUUUACACAUAGACACACACAUGGUCUAUAUAGUGUACAUUUUCCAUAAUAUGUAGCAAAUAAAUACUUUUAUUUAUUUAUGCAGGCAUGCAGGUGGUUGGGGAUAUUUCCAGUUAUUGGAAUCGGGCAAUGCAGCUGGCCCGUCACACACAGAGUCUGGCCCGUCAAAGGCAGCCGUGGCCAAUGUACGGGAGUGCCACAUCUGGGCCGAUGGAUUCGGCGUGGAGCCGAGCCAAGAUUCCGGCCAAAUGAGGCCUGACUCCGUGUACCAGAACUGGGCUGAUGGAAUGUUAGUCGAUGAUUCUACACUAGGCUGGAUGUGGCCCGCUUGUAUUUUGUUAUUUGGGUCUCCAAUAGGACACAUUCGCUCUGGUUUCAUAUUUGUUGAAAACUAUUCAUCUGCAGCCCCGGAAACAGUGUUAGAUUUUUAUGUGUGACAUUUUAUUGGUUUCUUCCCUAUAUAUGCCACCUCUGCAGUUUUAUUUCUGUAGUAUAUGAUCAUAUAUGUAGGUAUGAGGGAUUCACGAGGAACCUUUUCACUUCCAUGUUCCAUGUUAAGGGCGUGAUAAAUAGGCUCCGUGUUUGGCUCUUUGCCCCAGUGUACCUGUAGAUCCUAGUUAUUUAUUUUAUAUACUUGAAUUUAGUUGUAAUUUUCUCUUUCUGUCAUGUGAGUGUGUUUUGUGUCGUGUGUUUUGUGCGAUGCGUGUGCACUGUUUGGUUGCGGGUGCAAGCCACACACGCGCCAUAAGAUGGCAAUUCGAGGCAGCCUCUCUCUCUCUGAUCCUGCAGGUACGCACCGCAACACACCGCGACUCGGUUUUGUUCUUUUGUUAUACUUGUGAUUUUCUUUCAGUUUACCUUAAUUAUUGUGGUUAAUUUAUAAGUAACACUGCUGGUUGGCAUUGUGGUCAAAUGGUUGUUUUCUUUAUUUUCUUCACCUUUUUAGUUCCAGUCAACCAGUGUAGGUCAGCAGUGGGCCGGAAGACUCACCUCCCUCUUUUCUCCCCUUUUGUUCAACUCUCUCUGUCCCUCAGUGUGAGUGAGGUCAGAAGAAUUGCAAUCCGGUUACAUUUAGACAGCUCAGAUCGGUUCUGGUCUGAGAGAGAGAGGUCUGUUCUAUUGGCUCUGCCCUGUUUAUGUGUUUCCAAUUUGUACCACGUCUUCAUAAAUUUAUCUAUUUUUUUGCAAAAGGACAUUGUGGUGCUUUAAACAUGUUUUGGCCUUGGAACUGGCUGCUGGUAAUUGUGACUUGGCAGUCUUGAGCGGUACCAUGUUUUGGGGGCCCGCUCGUGACAACCCUUCCAUCUUUACCAACUUUUGUGUUUAUUGGAUGGUCUGUGUGCCACUUUAGUCGUGCGAUAGCUUUGGUUCGUUCUGCUUUCGCUGCGGCUUUAAUGCCUUGGGUUCGAUACAACAUUGAUACCUUUUUAUUUGAUGCAUUGUAUCGGUAUUGGUCAUUCGUACUUUGUAUUGCACCACGUUGUUUAGUC